rnacentral:lncRNA from 1 species
GAAUAAUGUUGAAAUGAAAUUUUGUUUUGAUUAAUUGUUUACAGUUCGAGUCUCCUCAGGGUCACUGAGAUGAGUACCCAUCUGUAAACUUCAGGGCCUCGUGGAAUUAGUCGAGGAGUGUGUAAGUUGGCUCCGACACCCACGGUCAUAAAACUAAAAAAAAAAAAAAAUGUUGAGAUGAGAAAAUUUUGUCUGAUUUUCUGUUGAGUCUAUUUUGUUUCUUUUCUUUGACAUAAAAUAUAAAAAUCUGCAGUAUUGUUUCUUCAGUCAUACGGAGCCAUGUUACCAUUGAACAAAACAUUUUAAACAAAUGAAUUUUUCGUGACAAUGGGUACUAAAGCCUCAUGUUAACUCCAACCUCAGAUGUAGUUGAGAAUUAGAAGUUAAAUUAAAACAUUUUAAUUGGUUAAUAUCUGUCUAGCUUACUGAUCAUAUUUUUCUGCUCUUAGAGACAUCAAAUUCAGUUAUUGUUAUUAUAUUUUUUAUUUUCAGGUGUUUAUAGAGAAUUCUUUGUUUCAAGCGGGCUAUAAAGCAGAAAACCAAUAGUUUUGUGGGACGAUAAGACCUCAAAAAUGGAUCGGUAGCAUGCUCCGAUACCACCAGUGAUAUGUUGGAAGCCUGUUUAUGGAAUUUUGAGCGUAUCUGCACAUAGCAUACUCUUGCCAAGCUAAAGAAUAGUGAACUCCAUCUCGUGGGAAUUAAGAAUAGAUCGUUAAAAGAUUUGGCAAGAGCCGGCCAAUUGUUGACUGGUAAUCAAAUUGAGAAAUUUACUACUUCACUAAACCUUCUCUUUCUGUUGUCUAGUUCUAAGAAACAUAAUUAUUAAUUAUUUCUUUUAGAAUAUACCCAGUGUUUUUCCAAUCACAUUAUUCUCGAUGGUUAAAGUGGGGUCCUAUGUUUUCUCUUGUUGCCGUCUCUUUAAAUCUUUUAGAUUCUUGACUUGUAGCUGUUCGUGUUCAAUUUUUGUCAUAAUGGAGUUUUUUUCUAAACCUUGUGUCUAACAAGGAAAAGUAGAAGCUUUUGUGUGACUGACCGAUGGAAUUCAUUGAGAUCUUCGUUUUUAAGUAAAACAAAUUUCUAUUUAUGAAUGACUCGUAUUUAGUA